GCAUGGAGCUGGACAAACAUUGAUGAGGCGUCUAUUGAAAUGUCCUUGCUCCACACUGUGUGGUCGAUUUAUUAUGAUCUGUACAUUGUUGUUAUGUUGUGGGCGGGUAGCACAAUGCGAAACGAGGGACAGAGAACUGGUUUGCUACUCCACAAUUUUAUCAAUCAUUGUAACAAUUCUGACAUUAUCGAUAGGCUAAUGCUCUUUUCUCAACAAUUGAAGCAUCGGAUACCAGAAGCUUCAUGCAAAUUGUUUGCUUUCGAUUGGACACUUCUGUUUUCGAUCGUCGGCGCAACGGCAUCCUAUCUCACAAUACUAAUUCAGUUUGAUUCAACAAGUUUAAUCAGUUUUGGUAGAAACGACACAAGCUUUCAGAACAUUUCGAUUG